GGAAUAUUGGACAAUGGGCGCAAGCCUGAUCCAGCCAUGCCGCGUGAGUGAUGACGGCCCUAGGGUUGUAAAGCUCUUUCGCAGGUGAAGAUAAUGACGGUAACCUGAGAAGAAGCCCCGGCUAACUUCGUGCCAGCAGCCGCGGUAAUACGAAGGGGGCUAGCGUUGUUCGGAAUUACUGGGCGUAAAGCGCACGUAGGCGGAUAUUUAAGUCAGGGGUGAAAUCCCGGGGCUCAACCCCGGAACUGCCUUUGAUACUGGGUAUCUCGAGUCCGAGAGAGGUGAGUGGAAUUCCGAGUGUAGAGGUGAAAUUCGUAGAUAUUCGGAGGAACACCAGUGGCGAAGGCGGCUCACUGGCUCGGUACUGACGCUGAGGCGCGAAAGCGUGGGGAGCAAAC
rnacentral:rRNA from 1 species